UUUUAACCUGGCAUGUAGCACAGGAACCAUUUUCUCUUGCUGACUGGAAUGAUGGCAGCUGUUUGGGCCUUUGUUUGUUGUGUGCUGACUGUUUGGAUUAACAAAGGCUUGAGUUUGCCGGUUGGUGGCACAAAUGAAAGACAUGACGAUGAGUUGCAGAGGAGAAUGAUUAGAGAUGUGUCUCCCAAUGAUAUCUCCAUGAAGGGGGCCUUUGCACUUCUCCAGUCAAUGGAGUCCGAGUUGAUCCAAGCCGCUAAAGAAGGUGAGCAGGUUCU